UUAAUAAAGACGUUAAGUUUUGAUGUAGUGUCCAUCAUGUCAAGUGUGGUGGAAGUGGCAUCAUCUGGUGGAGGGUGGAAGUGGCAUCAUUUGGUGGGAGGAGAGAGAGAUAUGGUAGCUGGGUCUCAGUAAACUUUUACUUUACAAUAGUUGAGUCUCAAUAAACUUUUACUUUAUAAUUUCUUCACGUAUUAAAAGAUUCGAAAUUUUUAUAUGUUGAUUUCGCACACCAAUUUAAAUAUGAUUAUUUCGUGAUUUUUAACUUUUUUUUGUUAUAUUUUUAAUUUUGAGGGGACCGGAAAAGAAAUAACUUUAUGAGAACGAUAGGCCUUUGCAUUAACACGAAAAGUUGGCUUUCAUUGACAUGAUCGUCGACAACAAAAAAAAUACAAAAUUGCACGAAUCCAUGCCACAGCUUCCCAGUUCACGCGCUUCCGCACAGAGCAAAGGGGGAAAGAAUUAAAAAGAAGAGGGAGUGAACUAGCCACAACUCCCAAAAAAAUAAAAGAAAAAAAAGAAAAUCUGCUAUUCAUCAUCAAGAUCCUCAACUUCCAGAUCCUCUGCAAUCGUCUCCAAUGGAGGAUGUCUGCAACUUCUGUCACAAGCCUGGACGAGAAGAGCCGGCGCGACCUCCAUCCAGGGACUCAAUCCUCCGAUUCCCUUGGCCAUUUCGGUACCGCGAUUCCCGAUUUGGACUCGAGAGCUUAAGAUUUGGUCGAAGGAAGAGCUCGACUGGGCAAGCUCCGGUUGUAAUCGCUGGAGAAAGAAAACCGCACGCUUCCUCUGCGAGAGAGAUGGAGACUUGGAGAGAGAUGGGGAGAGGGAGAGAAGGUUUUGUUGGGUGGUUGACUGGUUGGACAAACUUGAGGGGAGAGGCGGCUGUUUUUAUAAGGAGGGCAAAGGACGAGUGGGGAUUUCAUUUCGUUGGCUUUGGCUUGAAGAAAACGUGGCGUGUGUCGCUACUUAUUCGUGGAAGGUUCGUCCUCCUUUCCGGCCUUUCGACUGGCUGAAAAGGCUGGAGCACGAGAGAAAGUCAGAGACAUGUGAACACGUAUUAAUUAUAUGUGACAAUGACAUAUAUCGUGUUUGAACUUUAGUCCAUAAAUUUUAUAUUUUAUGAAUUUUUAAUUUAUUUAAUGUGGCUUAUACUUAGAAUAAAAAAAAACUGAUAAUACAUAUUCGAUAUAGUUCAUGAACUAUAUAACUAUGUUUAAUGUAAUCCGUAUAUUAAUUCAUAUUUAUUAAUAGGCUAAAGUUUAGAAAUUAAAUUACAUAUUAGAGUAAAGUUUAUAAAUCAUUUAUGUCAUUUUUUCCUAAUUAUAUUACACAACCAAUUGAGGAUGACAUGGACCAUGACAUGGCGCACUCUUAACGUGAUCACAUAUGUCAUAUACACCUUCAGUACCUAAAAUUUUGACCCUAAAGUUCAGAAAUUAUUGGUGUCAUUUUUCCUAAUUAUAGCACGCAACCGAUUGAGGGCAACGAGGGCCAUGACGUGGCGCACUCUGAACGUCAUCACGUGUGUCAUAUGCAUCUUCGGAUCUUACAGAUCUGCGUCAUUUGACUCUGGUGAGGAUUCACCGGUUCACGUAGGCGACCACACUAAUAUUUUUCAAUUCGUAGUGCGUGCACCCAGUCGGGAAGGCGAUUUUUUGCCCCCAACAACCGACAAGCCCAUGGAAUCUUGUCUAGAGGCAUUCCAGAGGAAAUUUUCUCUAACCAAAGUUUAGAUUACUUGGUGAUACAACCCAAGCGUUACCCACUUCUAAUUUUGAUUAUAUUCGCACAUAGGUAAUAUCAAUAACUUAUAAUAUACUAUUUAGGGGGUAAUGGUAGGAGAAAAUUUCCUUCCACCGGGACAGAGGAAAGCAAUUUCUAUUUUUCAACACCAAAUUUCGAAUGGUAUGAUGGGUUUUGCAUAAAUCUUGAUAAUUUUAUACCUAGUCACAUACAUACAAAAACCUUAAUUUUGUGGCUUGACGGAGAGCUCCUCGCCAUUGACCCACUCAGACGAGUCUAGAGUUUUCAUGUUCUGUUGGUAAUCUGUGACGCCAGUAUCAUUUGGGGGCGUCAAAGCAUGCAGUGCAGAGCCCAUGAAACAUCACGGAAGUACAUUGCUAUUGUCGUGCUAAACCCUCAAUCGAAGAAGGAAAAGAGAGAUGUAAUAAAAGAGAAGAAAAGAGGGGGGGGGGGGGGGGGGCGGCGGGAGUGUGUUGCAGCAACGGAUACAUGCUGCUCCUCAAGUCAAAGAAUUAUUGUGGUGUAAAGCAAUUAAUAUAUUUUAGUUAUCUCACAAUUCAUUAGCCUAAAUUUUAAGUUAAUGUGAGUUUAAUUGGAUAUGUUGACAAGUUUCGACAUGGCUUCACUCUUGAUGAUCUACCAAGGUAUUAGCUUUCCAAUGCACAACUCCCAACAAGUGGUAUCAAUAUUGAUAGUAGAUUGAUAGGCCCCCAAAUGAAAAUUUAACUUGAGAUAUCUUGGAGCCAAAAGCCGCAGAGUAGAUUGGAGGGUUCUCAAUGGAAAUUCAAGUUGAAAUAUCUUGAUGUAGCACAAGUGAUAUUAGAGUUAAUGGUAGAUCAAGGCCCUCAAUGGAGAUUCAAAUUGAGCUAUCUUAAUAUAGAAUGAUACAUGAAUUAAGGGAAGCUCACCUAAUGUUAAGCUCACACAUGAGUAAGAAACUAUUGAGGUGCACGUAUUCUAACUAAAUCAUAACUCAUUGGUUUAAAUUUUUAAAAUAAAGAUGAAUUUAAUUGAAUAUAUUGACGGGUUUAGACAUAAACUCUCUUUAUGAUCUUUUGAAGUGGAGACAUCAAUUUUUAUUGCACAGCCUCAACAACAUGGCACAUAAACAAAUGCUAAAAAUUUCAUGCGAGUGUUCAUUUAACAGCGUUAAUCGUGCACAAAUUAUAUAUCUCAUUGAUUAAAAAAUUGUCACUUCACAUACCAUCAUUUUCCACACCUUUGAUUAACCCACUAUACUUUUCAUUACCCUUUAUGAUGACAAUGACAAGAUGGGUGUAAAGUACCGAAAAAAAUGCCUCUUUUAGGGCGCGCAUGUUUUUAUUUCUGUUCUUUUUCUGUUCCCGAAAACAAAAAUAAAAAAAAGUGUUUCUGUUCCGGGGAACAAUUUUUGAAUAAAAAAACGCGUUUGGUAAACUUGUUCCGGAAAUAAAAAAUGAACAGAAACACGUUUGGUAAAUUUUAUUCUUUUUUUUGUUUCUUUUAAUUUUUUAAUAUUUUUAUUUUAUUUUUCAUUUUUUCCUUUCUUUUUUAUUUUUUCUUUUUUCGGCCGGUCGCCGGCCUCCGGCGACUGGCCGACGGGGCCGGCAACCUCACCCAGCCACGACGAUGCUCAGCCUCACCGGAUCUGGGCAAGCCCGAGCUCGCCCAGCCAAGGCGAGGCUCCGGCGAGGUCGCCGACCCUUGACGGCGUCGCCGGCCCUCGACGGCCGGUCGCCGGCCAUGGCCGAGGCCGGCGACUGGAGAAAGAAAAAAGAAGAAAAAAAGAAGAAGAAAAGAAGAAGAGAAGAAGAAGAGAGAGAAGAAGAAACGUUUCUUCAAAAUUGUUUCUGGAACAAGAAGUAAGUUUUUUUUGUUUCUUUUUUUUGUUCUUUUUGUGUUCUGGGAACAAAAGAACAAAAAAACAAAAAAGUGUUCCAGAAACACUUUUUAGGAAUAAAAACAUGCAGGCCCUUAUAAUUUUGGAGGAUUAAGAAAUAUUCUUUGUGGCAUGCAGGUGUCAUUUCACUUAACAAGGAUAUUUUAAAGAUCUUACGAAAUUUAAAACUAAAACUUGAAAGUUCUUCUUCCUUUUAAUUUUCAAGCCAAGCGUUGUGUCCUCUCUUCGGCCUCCAUAUACCUGGGAAUUCAUAUUGGACUUUGCGAGCCUUUCGAAAUUUCAUCAAUUACUCGAUGAUGUUUCUCAAGGUGUUAGAUGGAGGUGAAAAGGAUAUGAAAAGGAUAUGGAUGGGGGUUUGUGAUUUUAUUCAUUUAAAUCCAUAUCAAUAUAUACAUAUCAAUUUAUAAUUGGUCUAUGCUGUGUUAGUUAUUAACGUGACGCUUGCAACCAAUGAAUACUUUUCUCGUCAUUGAUGUAUGUGUUUGCAAUGGCUAGGGCAAUUGGUGGAAAGAGACAUGAUCCCUAGACAAUUAGUCCAAUGUUUAUGCAAGUGUCCUCUUGACAAGUUGAUUCCUAAAAGAUACCUUUGAAAACUCUUUUCAAUCGUAUUUGUCUUAUUCCAAAAUGGUCACUUCGCAUAUCAUGUUUCACUCAUUUUCCACACGUUUUGAUAAAUGCACUUUCCUCCUCCAUUACCACUUACGAUGACAAUGACUAUGAUAAGAUGGGUGUAAGAGAUGUCUAUUGUAUAAUUUUUAAAAAAGAAUUUCAAAUAGACUUGAAAAUGGACAUGAGAGGAGUUUAAGGGUGUAAUUUGGAGAACCACUCCAUAGAUUGUUAGAUAAGGCUUAUCAGAAAAUGGACAGCUGCAAACAAUGGGCAUCUUCAAUUACCAUCAAAAUUUUCUGUGAACUCCAUGGGGUCUUGUUGAUAUGAGCUCCAAACUCAAAGCAAUUGUGUCCAUGUCGACACCCUCAAGAUAAUGUUGGAUCUCGGUCCCCUCUUAGAUGAGAAGUUCCAUCGUAGAAAUGGAUUAACCGAGAAAUAUCGGGCACCCAGGUGGCAUCAAUUUCGCAAAAUACUAGUCUAUUAAUAACUCUUUCUCUCUCCUCUCUCCUCUGUCCAUUACUUUUUCCUCCCUUUCCUUUCUCUCCCGCGCUUGCUUUUUACUCAUCUUCUUCUUCAUCCAUCAAUCUUCUCUAUUUAGCACUUGCUUUAUUUCUUUCCUCUUGCAUCCGCCAUGGCUAGAGCUUAAGCACAAGCCUGAGGCUCAUGGCUGCUUGGGCCAUGGAGCUCAACCUCGAACCCAAAGCUUGGGAUAGCCUUGGCUGCUCAAGUCUUGAGCUCAGUCUCCAACUAGUGGCAAUGGCCAAUUGAGCUUUGAGCUCAUCGCGAUGGUGGCCGAGCCUUGAUAUCCUUGUUGUAAUUAUGGUGGGUUAAUGAAUCAAUGGAUGUGAGCGAAACGAGAAGUGUUGUUUCUAUUCACAUAUCUCAUAUUAAUUCGUGUAUUUCUCGAGUUCAUAUAUUUCUUGGAUUCGUGUAUCUACUUAAUUCUUGAUUAAUGUAUCUUCUGGAUUUUUGUAUCUAUUUAAUUCAUGUAUCUACUAGAUUCUUGUAUCUAUUCAUUUCAUGAUUCAUGUACAGUUUCUGUACAUGAAUUCAAAAACUCUAUAAAUAAAUUUCUAAAUCUUCAUUUCGAUAAGAAGAAAAAGUCACCAACAAUUCCUCUCUUCAAGUUUUCUCUAAAUAAAUUUCUAAUACCAACAGAUUCGAGGUGUUAUAUCUUGGGAGGCGAAGUUUGUGAAGCUACUUAACACUGUUGGCAAGAAUUAAUCGUCUUAAGGAGAUUCGUUUAGCCAUAUCUCACCUGCAAUUCUUGUUUAUUUUGUUGUCACUUUUUCGAUAAAUUUUCUAGUUACAAUGAACAGUGUUGCAUAUCUUCCGCCAAUACAUGUCUUCUUCUCCACCUCCUAUUCUUUAUUUUCCAACACCCCCGUCCAUGGUCACUAGAUUAAGGCACUUGAGGACACGAAUCAGGACUUGAACCUAGAGCUUGAGGUCAAAGCAGCCAUGGUCCAUUCCUUAAGUUUGAUUGAAAUCACUACCUUCCAUUCCUAAACAUCUCAUUUAAAUUUUAGAAAAUUUAAUGAUAGAGAAUAGAAGAGUAAAGAAAAUAUAAUGAUAGGGACAACACAGUACUAAAUAUUUGAAAUGAUGAAGUCAUAAAGCAAACACUAGCCAUGGAAAAUAUGUCUCAAUAAUGAACCAACAACCUACAACAGGCAUAGAAGACAGAUUUUGAUGGUUUCAUCAUUUUACAAUGGACAAUGCAACCUAUAAAUGAUCUAUCUAGAAUAAAACAAAUUGGUGACAUCAACUUGUUGCUGUAUUAUGAGGAGUUCUCAUUUAAUGUAUGAGGCUCAUGUUAGCAUCCUGUCUGAAUCAAAAAGGAUAUUGAUGAAAGUGAUAUAGAGUUAUAAUGAAAUAUAGUUUUGAAAAGUUAGAAAUAAGACCUACAAAAGCUUCUUUAAGGCUGGUUGGGGGUUAACUUACACCACACGAACUCUUACUAGGAGCUGAUUUUGUACUUGUAAUCACAAAUAAUGACAGGCAACUGUAGACUUUAUCCUACUGGAUGGGAGUUGUACAUAUGUUGGUCUCCUAGAUGAUUCCACUAUGUUAAUAUUCAAGUCUAUUCCUAUGUAACUGAAGAGAGUAGGAGUGAAAGAGACCACUUUGCACCAUAUGUGUGUAUGUAUAUCUUACUAAUCAUCAAGUGCAUUUAUCCCUUGUUAGAUGCUAUGCAAUUUUUCCCCCUGUUAUUUGUCUGUUUACUGUUGUUAAUGAAAAAACAUGUUUUGCUCUCGUUGUACUCCUUUAAGCUAGUAAUAACAUAUGUUCUUUAUAUAGUUGGCUUCUUCCUUUGAUUUGAUGGACUGUACUUUAUGAUCCUCUUUAAUAAGUAGCCUCAUUUGGACUUGAAAAGUAUGGUUAAAAGAAGUAUAGGAGAGAGGGACUGUUGGGUGGCUAGAGAAAAUCGAGGGGCAAGAGGCGGUUUUUAUAUGGAGGGCAAGGACAACUUUUUGAUUUUGAUUUGGUUUUGUUGCUCGAAGAAAAAUGUCGGGUUUGUCGCUACCUGAGGAAGCAUCGUCCUCCCUUCACUUCCACGUGCUUGCAGGCCAAGAGCACGUGGGGAACAUGAGACGUGUGAACGCGGGUAUGAGACUUGAUCAGGCCCCAUUAAUUAAAAGGAAAAUCUCACCAAAGUAAUUUUUUUUCCCAAGCACAGCAUCAUAAGAGUUCCAAUACCCCAUGUUUGUACUAGCGACUCAAAUACACUUUACGUCAAAGAUAGUUUUCUGGGUUGAUACUAGGAAAAAUCACAAACUACACAUAUUAUAAAUAUAAAGUAAGACCUUAAACCGAUGCACUUGUUAUAUGUUAGGUAUAAUCCAAUUCUUUAACUGUAAAAUUUAACGGAAACCAAUAGAUAAUAGAUUUAUUAUAGGUGUACCAAUUAAGAGGGUUUUAAAGGGUCAAAAAAUUAGUCUAAAGUAAAUUUGUUAAGAGGUCGAAACAUGUAUGUUGUCCCCAACUAACAAGCACCACAUGCCAUUCUUCAAGGACUGCCUCUUAGUUUCUUGACCCUUUAUUCUUGAAGCUAGUUUUUAGAGUCUCAUAUUUUCUUAUCCACAAGUUCCACAAAGUAGCAAAUGAAGAGCAUACUUAGAACCAUACCAACUUAUCGAGGUAACAACAAAGUUCUAAUUAGAAGAAGCCAUUCUAGUGGAGGAAGAAAAAGCACUUAGAAAGCCAUGAGAGUUAUCACAAUAUUGAUUUAUUUAGGGAAGGCUAGUUUGCCCCUUCAAUACACAAUAAAUUGCCUUAUAUUGCAUGAGUUGCAUCGAACAUCACAAGGCAUCUAGAGGACAAGUCCCUUUCAUGAUGCUACAGACAAUAGAUAUGAAAGCCACAAAGUAUAAAAGAUGCUUAAAGCACUAUAAACAAAGCACACUCCAUGCCAAGCUUGCUAAAGCAAGUGGUAAAGCUUAAAGCACCCUCCACACCUAGUAAAUUAGUAAAGCACACCACCCUAUCGUAUUAUUGAAUCCCUCUUUAGUGUUGUUUGUCGAGCUAUUUGAGUUGUCUCCAUCUUUUGCUUUGCGAAAGGUGCAAAUAAGAAUGUCUAUCUUCCACUGCGACAAAAGCUGAUCAGCAGUAGGGUCGUCAAGGAUUCUUGAUGAAGAUGAACCAUAUGUUCUUCUUUUCUUAGAGGUGGAAGCUAGAUGUAAAUCUAUGGAGAUGAAUUCAAAUGAGUAGGGGUAUUGGGUUAGUGGCCCACCCUAUGGAUCUUGGGAGAAGGAAGUGAGUGUUUCAUCAUGAUCAGAACUAAGAUCCUCUCCAUGUUAUUCCCUUAAGGCCUGAUGAAUUUGGUGGCUUAUUUCAAAGAAUUUUAGAUUAGUGUGUUGCCAUAUUGGGUUACCUUCUUGCCAAGUCUAUGGAGGAAUCACCAUGUUGUGUUGGCACAAAAUUCUUUGAAGUUCUUUAUGAUUCUUUGGGAUUUGUCUAAUUUUUGUUGAGAGGGUUUUGAAAAUAUCAUUUGUUCUUGAUUGAGGCUUGAAAGUAAAGACGCCAUCCUUUGUUGGAGUCUAGUGAAGAUUUCCACUUGGCCUAAAAAUCAUCCACGACCCAGGAAAGAUGAUUAAAGUGUGAAGUUCUGUAUUUGGCUGGCAAAAUUUCGAUUGUUCUUUAAAAACUAUUCUCUAGAUUCCUAAAGGUUUAAACCAUGAUAGAAAUUCUCCUAAAUGUGCAAAAUCUGACUCCUUGGAUAAACUAGCCAAUGAUGAGAGGCAUUUUAGUUGUAGGAAAUUCAACAUCUAUUUAAUGUAGAAUAAGCAGAUACCAAAUAAGCCAUUUAAGGUUUUCAAGAAAUGGGUCUAUGGAUGAGAUGGUCAAAAGAUAUAAGAAUGGAUACUUAGGAUAUAGUUCCAAAUGUCUCAAACAUAAUCCAUUAUAUUUGUUUAAGAUUCUUAAUUGAUAAACUCAUAGUAGGUCAUUAAGUUUUCAAAGACAACAUUGCCUUGGCCAUUUUGGCAACAUUGGCUGAGCUCGAAUUUGGCCACUAGCUAUUGUACUUGCAUACAUGUUGAUGGAAUUCAUUAGGGCUUUUGAUUUGGCUUGAAUAGAAAAUCUGCAAGCACAUUCUUUUUUUCUCGCAAUGCAUUUGGUUUUAAAGGAAUAUUUGAAAAACCAUUAUGCUCAUUUUAGAAGUUGUGGGUGCGGAAUUGCCUUCUUGCUUUAAUUUCAUCUGGUUAAAGGAAGACAUGUCAAAUUUGAUAAGAAAAUGGUGAUCUAUGAGAUGAAAUUCGAAUUUCUUAAUCCCGUACUUAACAACCAAGAUUUCUUUGAACAUAGUUCCACUCUUGUGUCCAUAGAUUCUCCUCUUAACGUCAACUUGUUGUUCAAAAAGAAUAGCUCCCAAUAUUUGUCAUUAACAUUGGUACGAAUAAUUCUUUUUCCUUAAGAGGGAAUUUGAAGAGGAGGUAAAGAUUUUUACUUUUAUCUGAAUGACUAGACCAAGAAAAAAAUGGUAGGAUCUUAAGGGGGGGAGGCAAUUCAAAGUUGAAGUUAAAAAUAACUCCAAAAAAACUUUAACCACAACCGAACUUGUUAAUUUUUGGAUUUUUCUAAUUUACGGGAUAGAUUAGUCGGAAUGUGUUACCUGCACUAAUAAAUGCAAGGGCAUAGAAGAAAGGACAAAUUCCCCUGUGGCCACAAUUGGACACUCGAAAGCAGCGAAGUCAAAUGAAAUAAUUUAAAGUGUGCUCAUAAUGAUUUUCAUAUUUAAAUAUUACUUAAUUUGAAAUUUUCGACAUACAAAUUAUUGACUUUUUUCAUUCGAAAUGCUAGAAACGUUCCACAUAUUGAUGUUCACAUAUUUAAAUUUUACUUAAUUUGAAAUUUUCGACAUGCAAAUUAUUGACUUUUUUCAAUCGAAAUGCUAGAUGCGUUCCACAUAUCUCCAAAAAAAAAUUACGUAAUUUAUACGUAAUUUAUACGUAAUUUUUUUCACAAUCAGAGAAAUUUUGAGGGGGGAAAAUUACUUAAUGAAAAAAAUAGGCCCCUGCUUAACGCAACAGCUUGGCUUUGAUAGACAUGAUCAGGCAACCAAAAAAAAAAUUCCACAAAUCCAUGUCCGUCCCCACGAGCUUAAAAGGGGGGAAAAGUCAAGAAGAAAAGGGAGUGAACUAGCGACGAGUCCCAAAAGAUACUGCUAUUCAUCGUCGUAGAGAUCCUCAGCUUCCUGAUCUUCUGCGAUCGUCUCCAAUGUUAUACGUCUGAAACUUCUGUCGAGAGCUGGGACGAGAAGAGCCGGCGCCACCUCCAUCCACGGACUCAUCGAUCCUUCGAUUCCCUUCGCCAUGUCGCGACCGUGGUUCUCGACUCCGAUUCAAGAGCUCAAGCUUUGGUCGACUCGACUAAGUGAGCUUCGGUUGAAAUCGCUAGAAGAAGAAGAAGAGAAGAAUUCCACAACUGCUCUGGGAGAGAUGGAGACUCUGUGUGAGAGACUGAAAUUGUUGGGUGAUGGAGAAAAUCUGGGGGGUGAGCGGCGGAUUUUAAUAUGGAGGGCAAGGACAACUUUUCGACUGCUCGAAGAAAAACAUGGGGUUUGGUGCUGCUUGGGGAAGCUUCGUCCUCCCUUCACUUUCACAUGUUUGUAAGGCCGAAGGCACGUGGGAUACAAGAGACGUGUGAACGCGGGUUUGGGACUUUGAUCGGGCCCCAUUAAUUAAAAGGAAAAUCUCACCACAUUAAUUAAUUUUUUUCCCCGUGGACAACGUCUUGCCAAACUCUUUCCGUAAAGCCAUCACCCCAUAUUUGUACUACCGACUCGAAUAUUCUUUAAGUCCAUAAUAGCUUUUUUAAUAUCCGAUGCGACAGCAUGCGUAGAAGUCCGAUUUUUUUAUGGCCAUUAGGGAUGAAAGUUCAACAUCGUGUAUUUUUGGGUCAUUAAUACGAAUUAGGAUAUUAGUGAGAUAAAAAAAAAUUGAGGUAUUGAUGUACACGAGAAAAAGCUUGAGAUUUUUAGUGAAUUUUUUCUUAAUUAAAUUAUUCAACUAAUUGGAUAAUUAUAUAGACUGUGAAGCGACAUACUCUCAACAGUUCCUUCUCAUAAAAUUGAGUCUCGAGCGAUCCCAAUUAUCACAUGUUCCGAAUGCAUCGUUGAAACCUACACAUCUGCAACAUUCAGUUCUGGUAGAAUUCAUCCAUUUUGCAUGUAGGGCGACCAUACUCAAUGAAGCAUAAUUAUAUGGAGUGCAUGCAUUUAGUUUCUACAGUAAUUUUUCUGCAACAAUAGUUGAACCGUUAAAUCAUAUGAGUUAUUACGUAGUGGAAGGAAUUUGGUUUCGAACAUGUUUUUGUCCAAUCACGGGAUACUUUCCCUAACUAAAUUUUUGAUUAGUCAAUGAUAAAUAAAGACAUUAAGUUUUGAUGUAGUGUCCAUCGUGUGGAGUGUGGUGGAAGUGGCAUCAUUUGGUGGAGGGUGGAACUUGGAAGUGGCAUCAUUUGGUGUGGGGAGAGAGAGAUAAGGGUUAAUUAUAGUUGAGACUAUGAUGGUAGCUUCGAGCUCAGUAAAUUUUUACUUCACAAUUUCUUCAUGUAUUAAAAAGUUUAAAAAUUUUACAUGUUGAUUUCACACGCCAAUUUAAAUAUAAUUACUUCCCGAUUUUUAACUUUUUUGGUUAUAUUUUUGAUUUUGAGGGGACCCGAAAAGAAAUUACUUUAUGAGAAGUGAGAACGAUAGGCCGUUGCUUUAACGCGAAAAGUUGGCUUUCAUUGACAUGAUCGUAGACAACAAAAAAAAAUUCCACAAAUCCAUGCCACAGCUUCCCAGUUCACGCGCUUCUUCCGCACAGAGCAAAGGGCAAAAUAGAAAAAAAUAAAAAGAAGAGGGAGCGAACUAGCCACAACUCCCAAAAAAAAAAGGAAAAAGAAAAUCUGCUAUUCAUCAUCGAGAUCCUCAACUUCCUGAUCCUCUGCAAUCGUCUCCAAUGGAGGGUGUCUGCAACUUCUGUCGGAAGCCGGGACGAGAAGAGCCGGCGCGACCUCCAUCCAGGGACUCAAUCCUCCGAUUCCCUUGGCCAUUUCGGUACCGCGAUUCCCGAUUAAGCUUUUGUCGAAGGAAGAGCUCGACUGGGCCAGCUCCGGUUGGAAUCGCUGGAGAAAGAGAACCGCACGCUUCCUGUGCUUCCUGUGCGAGAGAGAUGGAGAGUUGGAGAGAGAUAGGGAGAGGGAGAGAAGGUUUUUGCUUGGUGGUUGGACAAACUUGAGGGGAGAGGCGGCUGUUUUAUAAGGAGGGCAAAGGACGAGUGGGGAUCUCAUUUCGUUGGUUUUGGCUCGAUGAAAACGUGGCGUGUGUCGCUAUUUUAUUCGUGGAAGGUUCGUCCUCCCUUCCUCCCUUUCGACUGGCUGAAAGGCCAGAGCACGAAAAGAAACACGUAUUAAUAUAUGUGACAAUGACAUAAAUCGUGUUUGAACUUUAGUCCAUAAAUUUUAUAUUUUAUACAUUUUUAAUUUAUUUAACGUGAUUUCAGAAACGAGAGAUCUAUGUUUGGAAUAAGAGAAAAUUGAGUUAGUUAUUAUAGGGGACGAACCUCUUGUUCAAACCCUUCAUAUAUAGCCUUUUGCAAACUAUCCAGAAAUUUAGUUUGAAUUUUUUAAUACAUGUUCGAUGUGAUCAAUGAACUAUAUAAGUAUGUUUAAGGUAAUCCGUAUAUUAAUUCAAGAUAAAUGAGAAUAUUGAAUAUUGAAUAUCAAUAGGCUAAAGUUUAUAAAUCAAAUUACAUAUUAGAGUGAAGCUAAUAAAUCAUUCGCAUCAUUUUUUUCCUAAUUAUAUCACGCAAUUGAUUGAGGAUGAUGUAGACCAUGACAUGGCGCACUCCCAACAUCAUCGCAUGUGUCAUAUACAUCUUCAGUCCCUAAAAUUUUGACCCUAAAGUUUAUAAACUAUUUAUGUCAUCUUCCCUAAUUAUAUCACACAACCGAUUUAGGGCGAUGUGGGCCAUGACGUGGCGCACUCUAAACGUCAUCACGUGUGUCAUAUGCAUCUUCGGAUCUUACAUAUCUGCACCGUUUGACUCUGGUGAGGAUUUACUGGAUCUUCUCACGUAGGGCGACCACACUCAAUAAUAUUUUUCAAUUCGGAGUGCCUGCACCUGGUCCAAACGGUGAUUUUUUUUCCCCAAAAACCGCCAAGCCCAUGGAAUCAUAUCUAGAGGUUGUACGUAGAGGCAUUCCAGAGGAAAUUUUCUCUAAUUAAAGUUUAGAUUACUUGUGAUACAAGCCAAGCGUUACCCACUGCUAAUUUUGAUUGUAUUCGCAUGUUGAUGAUGAUGUCAAUAAAUUAUAAUCCAUUAUCUAGGGGUAGCGGUAGGAGAAAAUUUCCUUCCACCAGGACAGAGGAAAGCAAAUUCUAAUUUUCAACACCAAAUUUCGAAUGGUACGAUGGGUUUUGCAUAAAUCUUGAUAAUUUUAUACCUAGUCACAUACAUACGAAAACCUUAACUAUUGUGGCUUGACAGAUAGCUCCUCGCCAUUGAUCCACGCAGACGAGUCUCGAGCUUUCAUGUACUGCUGGUAAUCAGUGACGUCAG
rnacentral:lncRNA from 1 species